AAACAGAUGCAGAGCUCUCCAGAUCUCUGCAAGCAUCCAAUCUUUAUGCGUUUGAUCGAUAGCUUUAGCAGUGGGACAGAUGUGUGAUGCAUUCACUUUCAGAUCUUUCUCGGGAAGAGAACAAAACAACAUUAAAAUCUCCUGUUGCUCGUCAGUGAGGAAAUGGCAUUCUCCGCAGGAGGAGCGGGAAGCCUGCCAUGUGGACAACCCUACCCACAGGUAAAAGAAUGCCUUGGCAUGAAAACCUGUCCUGAAUGCACAGCCUGCUUGACAGAUAUAUACAAAGGCUUGAAACCCGAGAGGAGAAGCGGAUGGUUGCAAGCAAAAAAAAUCUAAACAAAAGAAUGGAAUUAAAGCCAGCACCAGGGCACGUAUUAAUACUGCGCGGCUGUCAUUGCUCACACUGAUUCCUAGGAGCGAUGCAGAGCAUUGUGCUCAGCAGGAUAAGACUGACAGACCUCGAAUAUGAACCCCCACUGCCUUCUAAAGAGGAAGGGCUGUCCUUCUUAUCUUCGGAUUGAUCCUGACCACUUUACUGCAAGAAGCUGCUGCUUGAAUUUCAGAUGUUGAGUGCUGGUAUCUGCGAUUGGCCAUGCACGGAAUUCCCGUGGCUGAUGUGUUUUGCUCAGGAGCUCACACCAGAAGAGGUAGGCACAAGGCAAGGACACAGCAUCCUGUGGCAGGCACCAGUGGGGCACUGCUGGGCUCUGCAGCUCCAUUUGCCCCUCAGCCAAGGUGAUAUUUAGCUGCUCCCAGUGGGGCUGGAAAGUCUGAAGAUGUCUGAGGAAUGGAAGAGUGGCAAACAAUGAUAUUGCUGGUGAUAAAGCAAUCCUGGAAAAUGUUUGGAUGAAUUUUUUUCAGGAGAUUUGCUUCACCCUGCCUCUGCUCUCUGCUGAUGUUACCCUCUGUAACAAAGAGAUCACCAGCAGGAAGAUGUGCAGGUAGGAGGACCGCUAGGUGGAUAUUCCUAAACAUCCAGCACACCAGCAGGCACAGGUCAGGAACAUAUUGCAUUAGCUCUGGGCCUGAGCAGAGUUAGUCAAAAUAGCUUGAAAAAUGGAACACAUUUCUUAGUGGAGGAGUCUCAGACCUAGCACGGAUGUCAUGAAUAGCUGAAAUGAUGUCUAAAUUUGAGAAGAAAGAAAAAAAAAAAAAACUUCCUCUGAAGUGUGUCUUGCAACUGCAAAUGAGGCAUAACUUGGAGAAUCUAUCAACUACGAUGAGCUGCUAUUAGCAUUUCAGUUACAUUUCCCUUGAAAAGUCAGGAAGGGCUGUGGCCCCAGAUCAUGGGUCUCUCCUGACAUGUAAAUAGGUGGCACCUAUGGAAAUGGAGAUGUCCCGGGUGUCAGCACCUCGAGGUGAAUGAUAGCUAGAGGUGGAAGAGUGGAGAAUAAAUGUUACUGCAAGAAAAGUUGCUGAAUUUCCUUUUGAGAGACUGAUAAUCCCGCAGGCUUCUACAGAAGCAGCUUUUGAUUAUCAUUGCUGAUGAUAUUAGAAGACAUCUCUAGAGUCUGUCCUUUAAAAAAUGUUUCCCUGGUGCUACUUGAAAACAUAUGGGUUGGGAACUGAAGUGAAAAACUGAUGCUUUGCUAACUCUCUUGGCACGAUGGAGGCUUAAAAAUGAUGUGCCUGAUACCAGAGAUGCAUUUUUAACAGUAAAUGAAAGCAGACUGCAUAAAAAUUCAAAAUACUAGACUGGUAAAUGUGGAUGAGAAAAGAAUUUGGAAGAAGAAAGAGAAGCUGGUUAAAGGACCAGAUGAGAAAAGGUGGAUCAGUUCAGCUGGGCUUAACAGGAGCAGCACUAUUUGUGUUGCUUCGUCUCACUGAAGGUGCAGACACACACCAGCAGCUUACAGAGGGGGCUGAGUAAGCCAGGUCUAACAGAGCAUGUUCAAAUGCAGCACUCUCCGAAGGGCUUCAUCAAGUAACAAGAUGGACAAGCUCAGGAUGCUGCUUGAAUAGUAACAGUUUGGAUAGAGAAGGGACAGAAAGAUGGAGUCAGGCUUCUUCAGUCUAGAAUCUAAUCCAUGCCAGACAGUGGUCUGCUGAUGGCUGUGGUAUCUAACACAGGCACAGCAUCUGGAGAGAAGUUAAUGCCCCAUUUCCAGUGGCUCUUAUCCAUAAAACUAAACCUGUUUCCAGACAACAUACAUUAAUACUCAGAAUAUGUCUUAUAUUGGAAUGUGUCUUAUACUGGAGUUGGAUGAGGUUAGUUUUGCUGAUUCAUAGAAUCAUUAAGGUAGGAAGAGACCUCCAAGAUCAUCCAGUCCAACUGUCCACCUGCCACCAAUAUUCCCCCAUUACCCAUGUCCCUAAAUAUCACAUGUGCAUGUUUCCUGAACACCUCCAGGUACUGUAACUUCACCACCUCCUUGAGCAACCUGUUCCAGCACCUGACCACUCUUCUGGGGAAGAAAUUCUUCCUAAUAUCCAAACUGAAAAGGUUGUAUAGGUUAUAAAGACCAACAACCAAACCAUAAAACACCUUAUGCUGAUACCGCAUUAAUGUCUUCACUGUGAAAAAUUCUGACCCUCAACUGAAUCUGUUGAACUGAACAAGAAUCUGUUGAAGUUGCUACAGAAAAACUUUUGACAAAAAGAUACUUCGGAAAAGUGCUGAAUCUGCAGAAUCACUGCAUCUCUUGGCUGGUCAUGCAUUUUCUGAGCCUCUGCCAGUAAUUACAGCUUCUGAAAACUUCUGAAAGCAAAAAAGCAUCCCCUUCCAUGGCUUUCUGUUCCACCUCUUUGCCUCUUUUGGGUCCAUUGGUCAGCACAUUCAUACCCCCACAGUCAGAUGACCAACAGAUUGGUGCUACAAAAAACAGCUUGGCCUUUCAGAGUGCCAGGUGAUGGACUUCAGGAGGUUUGGGUGUAGUCAUAAGACAAAACAGCCAACUGCUUUUAAGGUAUGUAUCCUGUGCCAGCAUGGACAAACUCCCCACCUACUCAAUUUCUGUAAACAGGUCGGAUAUUUCCCCAGAAAAUGUUUAUUAAGAUGACAGAACAUGCAUUUUUGGUCUAUGGUGGUUACAGUGUCUGCUGGAGCUAUAAAGCUCUGCAGAAUCCUGAAGAAAUGAUAGAUCCUAAAGACAGAUAUUGCUCUUAGCCACAACCAAUUAGCACAAUCUAUUUCUCAGUUUUUCCAGGCUCUGCUUUAACAGUCUCUAACCAGGAGCUUAUCUUCUGUUCCAAAAGCUGACAUGGAUAAAAUGCACCUAGCAUUGCUCACAAUUCUUACAAAGAACAACGGGUAUUGCAUUUGGCUACACAGAGAAAUUUUAUUUCAGUGACUUUGGGUGCUGAGAUUUCUCAAUCCCAGCCAUGACUUCCCAUUAAAAGAAGCUUUUAUGCUUCUUCAUCCAAGAGACAGAUCAUGUUCUGAGAAAAUUCAAACUAUUUUAUACUAGCCUAUGUCUAAAUUGAACAAUGAAAAUUGUUAUCCUUUAUGACCGCCAACCAAUUAACUGACCUGGAGAUAGGGAAUUAAGCCAGUCUUACUCCUUUGAAAUGACAGCUGAAAUAACAGCAGUACAAUUCCUUGUCUCCUGUUUGAGUGUAGGAGAGGAGGAUGGGAACAGGAUAUCGACAGACAAAAAUCCUGCCCUUGUAAUGCUUCCCAUUAACUUCUGAAGGGCGGGAUCUCCCCGUCAUGUCACACUUUCUAGGAAGGCAUUCAUAAAAUCAGGUGAGCAAAGCAUGGUGCUUCUGCUGUGAUUUAUAAUAUUCCACAAAUGGUUCAUCUAAAAAAGCUCUUUGAGUAUUCUGUAUUGCCUUCUGCUUUCUUCUUCUGUCAUCCCUCAGCAUAAAUAGCAAUGGAGUGAGGAGUGCUCCCUAGCUCACUGAAGGUGCGUGCCAGUGAACUUGUAAUAUAAACACUAUCUGGUGAAAAUGGAUUAGGGGCAUUUGGGCAUAAAACCAGGAGUGUAUGGAGUGUCAGGGCUGUGGCAAAUUCAUCAGCAUGGCGGACUGCAGCCUUUCCAUGAAGGAUGGAAGAUUCUUCAGCCUGAAGAGCCAAGUGCCAGCUUGGCAACUGGGAAAGUUUUGCCUUUUGCAUUGCUAUAGAUAACUUUGUUAUAGGAACUUAAUUUAAUUGACAUACAGUUGCUUUCAUUCCAGGAUAAUACCAUCCAAGGUUACACAACUCAAGACAAAAAACACACAUUUACAUGGAAAUAAGAGAGUCUGUAUGAGGCAUUAUAUUGGCAUAAUUAUUCUUGUUUAAAAUCAUGCCUCAUCUAUUAUGUUUCUUCCAGAGCAUCCGAUCUUUAGGCGUCUGUUGAUUAUGCAGCACUAUGUGAUAAGGCCAUCAUGGAUAAGCAUCAUUGUGCUUUUAUAUAUUCUAUCAAAUCACAGACAAACAUCACCUCAACACACAUUAUUUCAACAAAAGGGUAUGAAAGCUUGUAAGACAACAACAAAUAAACAAAAAUAAGCAUCCAUUCUGGUACCAUUUGCCAGUCAGUAUAAAUUAUUUGCCAACAGAAAUCUGGCUUGCAAGGAGAAAAGAUUGUUUUGCCUCCUUAUCCCCCAAAUGCCAUUGCCAGCACUGGACUCCCAUUGAAAAUGAAAAAGUUGCUUCCAGCUAUCUUCCCUUACCCAGCAGAGGUUGUUUGGCACCAAGUUUCUAUUAAAUGAUGUAAUUAAUUAACUUCCAUGGAUGGCAAAAGAUGGAAACGAAAGCAAAAGUGCAAGACAGUCUCAUGCAGAUGAUCAUUCCCCACUUUCACAGCACCGCUGUGCAAGUUCCCAUUUGGGGCCUGUAGUUCUUGAUGAUGGUGGCAUUAUGAAUUGCCCACAGGGACGAACUUCAGAAUGUCAAAAGAAUUAGGGCUGUACUGUCAGAAAAUAGGAACAUGAUCCAUGCUGAGUGAAUGAACAGUUUUUUCAAUGUGUUUAGAUUUAAAAUCUUUUUAAGGGAUUGCAUUGCAGGCUUCAAGUGCCCUAGCAAAUCAUUAGUGAUAAUAGGAAACCCAAGCAGAAUUAUAGCAGCUAUUUCACCACAAACUUGACCAUCCAGCCCUGUAAAGAGAGUCCUUUCCAGCUUUAAGUCAUAAAAAAUAAAUAUGUCACCUUCCCACCAAUUCGGUGGGGAAGGGCUUGAUCAGAGAUGAAAAAUGGAAGCGACCCAUAUUGGUGAUAUUUUUGGCUUGAUAUAGACUUAACAAAAAGAGUGGACAAAUUCAUAAAAGAAAGUUUCUAUAAGGGCUGUUUUAUCUCUCAAGAAGUUGGAGGGCUGCAAAUUGUUGCAGGCUGGGGAAAGUCCUCGGGGAGGACCAUCCUUACAUGCUUGUUCUGUCGCUCUGUCUGGGUACCCACUGUUGGCUGCUGUCAGCAGCUUCUGGACUCAUGUUCCAGACAGCGACUUCAGAGGCAGAUCAUAAUUAUGGAUCUAUUUUUAGAUGCUCUAAUUUUGGCAGGAAGCCAAAAGUUGUAAUAAAACAGCUUUGGUGUUAUCUGUCAUCUCCAGACAUGGAAAAGAGCCAUGAAUUCAGCAUGGGGGUAGAUAAUGUAGAUAUAUUAGAAUGCAUUAUUAUCUACAGGGUUGCCUAUUGCCAGUUUCAUUUUUAUUGCAUGGCAAAGGUCAGCACCUUUCGGUUGCUCAGAGAUCCCAAAGGAUGACAAAUUACCAAGAAUUCCUCUAUUCAGCAUAUAUAUGAAGCCAUCAUAAAAGAAUAUCAGCAUGGUGCUAGCAGUCUCUGAUCUACAUUAUAUGCUUCUUUUGGCAACGAAGAUUUGUCUGCCAUUGACGGUGGGCAGAUAGUGAGGGAUAAAAUUUAAUACAGACAAAAUGAAAGUACGGUGGCACCUUACUUGUUCUUCAGCUGAAAUGUAGCUCACGUUAACAAGAUUCACAAGUCUCUGAUUCCAACUGGAAACUGAACUGCGUUUGGUUUUGGGAAACUGCAAGAACAUUUUUAUUUCAGAAAGCCUUACUGUUAUUCCUACCAAAAAAUAAAACAGGUCCACUUUGACUUUUUUUUUCUUCCAAUUAAAACCAGGAAAAAAUGGAAUGAAGGUGCCAUAAAUAUGGGGGGGAAAAUGGAUCAUUUAGAAUAAGGAUAAAUGGGCUGUGCUUCCAUAGCUCACUCUUCCAGGCACAGUGCUUUCAUGGCUGCCAUGUGUGACAGGCUUGGUUGGAUCCUUCAGGACAACUCAGUCUCAUCUAGAAGAGAUUGCACUGAGAAACUUAGUUGGUGAUGCUUAGGUGAGUAAACCGUUACACUAAUAUCCAGUGCACUGGCUUAUGAAUGGUGUUCAGGUGUGUUUAAACAUCCAGGGACAUGCUUGAAAAGAACCUGCUCAUUCUAGAUCUGGAAACUCUGGAGUCUGGCACACAAUGGGAAAACAAGAAAAGUUCCAGUGCAUGAGACAGAGUUCACAUACUGGGAGCUUUCAGGGAAGGGUCCAAAACCUGUCAUUUUGCCCCCAAAGCUUUAUCCUGAUUAGAGUACCAUUAGAUCACCUCAUUAUUUCAUGUGAAGCUAUACCACUUUACAACCAUUGAGUCUUUACUUCUUGUAAGGCUCUGGCCUCAGUGGUAACCCAUUGGAGCCAGCUGCCCACAUGGAUCCCUCAUUCUGUAAAAGAGCCUUUAAAGUUUGUCACUUUCUAACUAUGUUAAAGUCUCCUUGUUGUAGGAUCAGAAGAGGCUAGAAAUGCUCAACGGACCUUCCCUUUUGCCUCUCUUCCUCUAAUCCAUUUUCCAUUGGUCUGACAGAGUCUAGAGAUGGUUGCACUUCAGGCCACAUUGCGAGACCCAUCCAUUAUUCUGCCUUUUGCCAAAGAGACUGAUUUGAAGGGGUGUGAAUUUUUGUGAGGCUCAGGAAGUGUUGAAUUGACUUUUCUGUCACUUUCGCUACAUUUCCCUUUCCGUGGGUUACAGCACUGAUGGAAAUGUCCUCACAGUCUGUGAUAGGCGCGUUCUAGAAAUAGCACGUUAAAUAAAUGUGAAUGUUUUUAAAAAUUAAGAAUCCUCCACAAGUUCUAAAAAUACAGACAGUGUAAGUAAUGGACCGGAAAUAGCCACAAUGUUUGUAUUUUUGGCAAUAGAUACACAGCGGGAAGGAAAACUAUGCAGUUUAAUUUGCUACUUGGUAUUAGUUCUUAAAGUAUUUGCCAGUAACGGCAACAUUAUAAUUUGUAGAAUUAAUUAAUGAUCUGGCAUCUGAUUUUGAUUCAUUAAUGCUUAAGCCAGCUAAGUCUCAAUUAUCCUCUGGACUAUUUAUUCCUUAACAAGCUUUUAGCUAAUGUGAUUUUGAAAAUAUGAAAAUAGGUCUUAGCUUGUCUUUAAGAAGUGACAAUAUUUUAACACUUCUCUGUAAAAUAAAGAACCUUUCUAAAUAUAUAUUUAUAUAUUGUGCUGCUAUAGUUACAUCCCAAAUUAGACUUGGGGAUUUUCACUGUAUGCCCUAAAUAUAUAUUAUAUUUAUACGUACCUUGAACCUGACUUCAAUUUAGACUUGAUUAAAAAAUGUACUGAAUUGGAAACUGUGUAAUAAAGGAUGCCUAAAUCAUACUGACCCAGAAUAGCUCACUCCGUCAGACAGUUAGCAAAUAAGUGCACAAGCAAGCAGAUGAUACGAGAAUUCAAAAUUAACUUUAUUCUCAGAGGAUGCAUAGACUAGCAGAUAGCAUCUGAUUCUAUCUGCAGAGGUGUAAAUCCAGAGUAACGCCUUGGCUGAGGUCUCGUUACCCUGAAUUUGAUUGCUUAUCCUGCAAAUGAUCAGAACCGGGCUCUUCAGUGCCCAAGGCUAGGUUAAAGCAGCUGAAAUAGCCAGUGUUACUUCAUGACAUUUUUGUGAUGCAACUGGAAGCCUCUACCGAUUUUCACAUAUUCAUUAUUUAUAACAAAUCCAUUUACCAAAGUAAUUUAAAGACUCUUGAAAUUCUCUCCAAAUGACUGGUAUUUUUGAAAGUUCAAUCACCACAUCCUUUAGGAAAAUCUCCCCGAUGGAGUUACCUCUUGUGCCGCAAUUGUAUUAUGAUACAUUCAGAGGCUACAGCCAUUGAUUUGGGAUUGCCAGGCACCGGUUUAAGAGCUCAUUUGAACUCGUUUGGGAAAGUUGCUUCUACUGCUGGGCUCUGAGGUGAUGUUUGUGCCUGCCAUCAUUGUACGCUGUCCCCACUCACAUCAAAACAGAAAUGCAUUAUUAUGGAGAUGAGUAAACAAAUGAAUCAGGGAUGUUUUAUAACCAUAUAAACCAGCUCAGUUGGUCAUUUUGGUUGCUGAGAUUUGUUCCGAAGGUAUCUUCCAAACCUUUCCGAUAUUAUAGAGAUGGUAGAAUAUACCAAACUAAGCCAUUAGUGUUAUAGAACUUGGAAUAACUAAACUACUCCUGAAACUAUUCUCUUCCUAAGAAGACAUCUGAUGACCUCUGAACACUGGCAUUUGUGUGUAACACCACUGACGGCGUCAGUGUAGUUAACUCUCACUUCACAAUGCUGAGACGCCAGCUAGAGUUUUCCCCACCCCUCUCACCAAGAAAUCUGAGACAAACAUCUGAGAGCAUCUAUCUUCCCUCCCCCUUUCAGAUCAUUAAAUUCAGCUCCUAUCAGCCAAAGAUGGGAGGUCAGUCUGUGACAAUAUGGAGAGAGCUGUAAUGCUGACUCUUCUUUACACCUGAGUAAACACCUUCAGCCCAAAUGGCUGCCCUGGAUGUACAGAGUGGGGGCACUGCUCACAUUCCAAGAUGACUAUAAUUUUAAAAGUCAACUCCCUCUUACUAAGUUAAAUGCUCUGGCCCACAGAAUCCAUUCUGUGCUUCUUCAGGGACAGAUCUAAGCCCUGCCUACAUGGCUGGCGCAUAACUGGGAGGUCACAAAACCAGUUACCACAGGCAUAUCUGAGGCAACAAAGAAAUAAUGUCCAGCUACUGAGGCACAAGGAAAAGUGCCAGUUAUUGGCGUUGUUAUGGCAAGAGUACUUUCAGACUAAGAGGUAAGCAGAAGUGGUUAAGCUCAGGCUCUACAGCUAGGGAUGGACUGCUGGAGGCACCAUUCUUCUCCGUUCCCUUGAGAAAAGGUUUGGGUUGAGAAACAAGAGCAGCCCUGCUCACUUUUAAUCAUCUGAAUGUGGGGGAAGGAGAGAAGGUGGAGGCUUGGUAAGAAAAAUAUGCAAAGCUUAAAAAGUUCCAGCUGCUGUUCUCUAAUGGAGGCUUGAUUCCUCACGAACGGUGGAAUAGUUAGGCCACCUGGUGGUAAAAGGCGAGCCAACAACCUUUGCAUUUUCUGAGGCACAACAAAUAACCUGAGGAGCAGAUAGCACAGGGAACCGUCAUAGGCUGCCUGCCGUGCAGCCACCGCUGGGAGAUGGCUGCCAGCUGUGACCUCCUCCAGCUCAGGUGCAGUGCAGAACAGGGGGAUCCUCCCUCCAUCACAGCUUGCCACCCCAGGCAGCUCCUGCUGUGCCAGGGAGGGAGGUGAAGGAGAAAGCAACCCAAGGACCUCUGAACCUAGUAAAACUGCUGCCUAGAAGUACCACAAAGUGUCAAAUGUAAAUGCAGAGUGCAGAGAUGUUGGCCCUGCUGGUGGGGUCCUUCACAGUGCUCCCAAGUGCCAAUAUCUAAGAACCAAGCUGGACUGCACAGCAGGGCAAUGCCAAGGAGUGUUCACAGAUGGGCACAGCGCAGGUAAAUGAAUGUUAAAGGAAAUCUGUUGGGUGAUGUGACUCUUCUUAACAAAGGAACUACUGUUUGUUUUGCCCAAUUCUGCCCCCUGGAGCUUUCAUCUGAGCAUUGGGAAAGCAAGCCACUGUGUCCAGAGUUGCUCUCUCCUUGCUUGUCCCUGUCUGGUUCCCUCAGUGCAUUCUCCAGCACUUGAAAAUUCACCCGACUUGUGACUCAUGCUUUAAUCUUAUCCAAGUCACAAUGUUUAUUUCACAGGAUGCCCAAUUAAACAGUAAUUCAGUCUGCUCUGGAGUUGUUUCCUUCCCAUCUGGUGAUUGGUAUAACCUGAAUAAUGUAGGAAGCACAGAAGAAAACACAGAAAUCAGCUUCAGUGAUAUUGGGAGAGCAAGCUACAACUUCUCCUACUGAAGAAGAGGGGGAAAGAGCAUGCACAAAAGCGUUAAGAAGGGUCAUCAUUUCUGAUGCUCCCUGACUCCUAAGAAGAGAAGGGAAGGAUUUCAGAUUGGAUAUCAGGAAAAAUUUCUUCCUUUGAAAGAGUGGUCAGGAGAACAGGCUGCCCAUGGAGUCACAAUCCCUGGAGGUGUCCAGGAAACACAGAUGUUGUACCGAGGGACAUGGCUUAGUGGAUAGUUGGACUGGAUGAUCUUGGAGGGCUUUUCCAAUGUUGGUGAUUCUAUGAUUCCAAGAUGGUGCUACCUGGGCAUGUAUUACAGACUCCCUUUAAGCCAAGGGAACAGGAGCAGGAGUGGGGCUGUGCAAUUCACACUGGGUGAAAGAAAAUCCACGGUCCCACUUUCCCUGUCCCACUUUUGCCCUCCACUGUAGCUACUGCAGGAAUACCUGCUCCUUGCACCUUGCAUCCAAGGUGAGUGCUAGAGCUCCACGGUCUGUAAGAGAAGGAGCAAGGUCCUGACUUCACUAGCUGCACACUAAAGUCCAUAAGUCCUAAAAAGUUGGAGGGGUUUUUACCAUGGCAUAGAGCUGCAUGCUUUUUUCAGGCCUUUCAUCCUCACACAGGCAGGGCCAGUGCCACACUACUGUAUGGGAAAUUGGUAAUCACAGCCUGAACCUCUAUUAAUCAGCUGAGGCAAGUGUUGGAUCAGCUGUGGGAGCACAGGUGAGAGU